rfam:Camelus ferus unplaced genomic scaffold scaffold623, whole genome shotgun sequence.
GAGGGAGUAGCUCAGUGAUAGAGCGUCUGCCUAGCAUGCACAGGGUCCUGGGUUCAAUCCACAGCACCUCCA